rnacentral:rRNA from 1 species
UACGUAGGGGGCAAGCGUUGUCCGGAAUCAUUGGGCGUAAAGAGCGUGUAGGCGGUCCGGUCAGUCGGUUGUGAAAGUCAAGGGCUCAACCCUUGAAUGCCGGCCGAUACUGCCGGGCUAGAGUCCGGAAGAGGUGAGUGGAAUUCCUGGUGUAGCGGUGGAAUGCGCAGAUAUCAGGAGGAACACCGAUGGCGAAGGCAGCUCACUGGGACGGUACUGACGCUGAGACGCGAAAGCGUGGGGAGCAAACAGG